rnacentral:tRNA from 1 species
AGGGCCGUAGCUCAGUUGGUAGAGCGCCGCCUUUGCAAGGCAGAUGUCGUCGGUUCGAAUCUGUCCGGCUCCACCC